rfam:Triticum aestivum genome assembly, contig: Triticum_aestivum_CS42_TGACv1_scaffold_526489_6DL
UAUAUACUCCCUCCGUCCGAGAAAAUUUGUCCUUCAAAUGGAUAUAUCUAGCACCAAGUUAGUGUUAGAUACAGCCAUUUAAGAAACAACCUUGGGACAAUCUUUUUUGGACGGAGGGAGUAGUAU